GUGGAUUAGAUACCCCGGUAGUCCAUGCCGUAAACGAUGUCUACUAGCCGUUGGGGGAUUUGAUCCUUUAGUGGCGCAGCUAACGCGAUAAGUAGACCGCCUGGGGAGUACGGUCGCAAGACUAAAACUCAAAUGAAUUGACGGGGGCCCGCACAAGCGGUGGAGCAUGUGGUUUAAUUCGAUGCAACGCGAAGAACCUUACCUGGCCUUGACAUAGUAGAGACUUUCCAGAGAUGGAUUGGUGCCUUCGGGAAUCUACAUACAGGUGCUGCACGGUCGUCGCCAGCU
rnacentral:rRNA from 1 species